rnacentral:rRNA from 1 species
GACGUAGGGCGCGAGCGUUGUCCGGAUUUAUUGGGCGUAAAGAGCUCGUAGGCGGCUUGUCACGUCGGGUGUGAAAGCUUGGGGCUUAACUCCAGGUCUGCAUUCGAUACGGGCUAGCUAGAGUGUGGUAGGGGAGAUCGGAAUUCCUGGUGUAGCGGUGAAAUGCGCAGAUAUCAGGAGGAACACCGGUGGCGGAGGCGGAUCUCUGGGCCAUUACUGACGCUGAGGAGCGAAAGCGUGGGGAGCGAACAGG